rnacentral:piRNA from 1 species
CUGAAUGAAUGAUACUGUUUUCUGACA